rnacentral:rRNA from 1 species
AAGCUCAAAUUUGAAAUCUGGUACCUUUGGUGCCCGAGUUGUAAUUUGGAGAGUACCACUUUGGGACUGUACUUUGCCUAUGUUCCUUGGAACAGGACGUCAUGGAGGGUGAGAAUCCCGUGUGGCGAGGGUGUCAGUUCUUUGUAAAGGGUGCUCGAAGAGUCGAGUUGUUUGGGAAUGCAGCUCUAAGUGGGUGGUAAAUUCCAUCUAAAGCUAAAUACAGGCGAGAGACCGAUAGCGAACAAGUACAGUGAUGGAAAGAUGAAAAGAACUUUGAAAAGAGAGUGAAAAAGUACGUGAAAUUGUUGAAAGGGAAGGGCAUUUGAUCAGACAUGGUGUUUUGCGCCCCUUGCCUCUCGUGGGCUUGGGACUCUCGCAGCUCACUGGGCCAGCAUCGGUUUUGGCGGCCGGAAAAAACCUAGGGAAUGUGGCUCUGCGCCUCGGUGUAGAGUGUUAUAGCCCUGGGGAAUACGGCCAGCCGGGACCGAGGACUGCGAUACUUGUUAUCUAGGAUGCUGGCAUAAUGGUUAUAUGCCGCCCGUCUUGA